GAGUGGGAAGGGUAUUUGUCGUGUGCCUUCUCAGGGAGAAAUCUGUUUCCUCCUGCAGCACCAUCAUCGCCUCGUGGCAGUUCCUGGUCUGAACUGGCAGGUUUUCUCUUGAUUCUGGACCUCUGGAGAAGGAAAUGACUGUGGAAACAAGCAUGAGCAAAGGCCCUGAACUCUGAAUAUGUAUUAUCCAAUGGUACCCACCUUCCCUUGCAGUCCAGGAACAAAUGUGUGACCUUGGUUUGACAGCUGCUGUUUGUUUUCCAGUCAACCAAAGCUUGCAGUAAGGAUUUCUCAGGACAAUUUGAAAAUUAGAUUAAAAGUGGAAGACCAAUGGUAUCUUUUUACCUUGGAAUCCAUUGUCUGUAGCUUUUCUUUCUUGAAUUCCUGGAAUCACUGCAGAAUUCCUCUUCGGAUUUUUCUCCCUGAAAUUAGACUGUAAUGAUAUGCUUCAGACCUCACAGGAGCCUAAAGUCUAAAAAUCAACAAAA
rnacentral:lncRNA from 1 species